UGUGAUGCUUUUGCCAGGAACAGAACAGGAAUGGAGUCUUAGAACUUAGCCUUGCAUUUCUAAACCACAAUGAUGCUGUCAGAAGCAAAGUCAAUAAAGACCAAAGAAGUCCUGAGGUCAGGCAACUUCUGAAGCUGUGAAUGACCUAGACUGAAACGAGACCUGCAACUCAUUUGACUUAGGCCACUGAGCAACCAUCAGACACUAAUGACUGUCACUAGGUUUAAUUUGAAUCAGUCUCCUAGAGAUGGAAAAAACACCAUCUCUCAUUACCAAUCACUCAGGCCAUCCAGUCUCUUUCUCUAGACAGUUUUUGUUUUUGUUAGUGAUGGGAGGAUAACAGGAGGGAAGACAGAUUAGAGGGAAUCUCUCAUUUCCUCUCCCUCCCAUGACCCUGGGGUCCAGCCAUGGAGGGAUUGACCCCAUUUCCUCAGGAGCAUAUCAGUGCUGUAUGGAGUAUUGGUCAGGGAAACUUGCUCAGGAGUUACACAAGGGUGAUAAAUGUACUACCUCCAAACUACCGUCCAGGUAGCAAGGGACCAUGCUAAGGAGAUGAACUCUGAUCCCCUGCAUGUCAGCCACAUGCACAGAUUGUCAGCCUGGCCAUAAGGUCUAGUUCUUCAGUUUGUCUACAAAAAAUUCCAGACAGUCUGUCAAAUAAUUUUUUAAAAGUGAUGCAAUUAGACUUCUAAAAUGUUGGACAAUCUGAGGGCCUGCAGGGCUCAGAUUUUUGUUUUUUAAAACAAGCAAAACAAUUAAAUUAAAAAUCCACAAGCAGUUUUCCCCUUGGGGACAGAAAAAGAGAAGGAAAGACCCACACUUGACAAAUACUAAUCACAUUGCUUA